UACCGGGCGCCGGAUGAACUAAUAGAAGUGAAAGUGUAAAAUUGAAAAGUUUUGACAUUUAUCAACCAAUUUGGAGACUAUAACUGAACACAUGGCGUUGAAAAAAUUACCCAUUGAUGCUUUGGACCUGAAAGAUAAACGGGUGUUAAUAAGGGUUGAUUUUAACAUUCCACUGAAGGGUAAAGAUAUCACUAACAACCAGAGGAUUGUAGCAGCUAUACCUACUAUCAAAUAUGCCCUGGAUCAAGGAGCCAAGUCUGUUGUGUUGAUGAGCCAUUUAGGAAGACCUGAUGGCCGCAGACAGGACAAAUUCUCACUUGCUCCUGUGGCAGCUGAACUGAAAAAACUACUCGGAAAGGAUGUCCUGUUUUUAAAUGACUGUGUGGGAGCAGAGGUAGAGAAGGCUUGCAAAAACCCAGCAGCGGGAUCGAUCAUUCUGCUUGAGAACCUUAGGUUCCAUACUGAGGAAGAAGGCAAAGGAGUUGACGAGGCUGGCAAUAAGGUUAAAGCAAAAGAUGAGGAUGUAGAAAAGUUCCGUGAAUCUCUUACAAAACUUGGGGAUGUCUAUGUCAAUGAUGCCUUCGGUACAGCACAUAGAGCACAUAGCUCAAUGGUGGGGGUGAAGCUAUCCCAGCGUGCAUCAGGCUUCCUGUUGAAGAAAGAAUUGACCUACUUUGCAAAAGCUUUAGAUAAUCCAGUGACACCUUUCCUAGCCAUCCUUGGAGGAGCAAAGGUAAAGGACAAGAUCCAGCUAAUUGAAAACCUUCUUGACAAAGUGAAUGAGAUGAUCAUAGGGGGAGGUAUGGCUUACACCUUCCUCAAGGUCCUACACAACAUGGAAAUAGGGAAUUCCUUGUAUGAUGAAGAUGGUGCAAAGAUUGUUAAAGACCUGAUAGCAAAAGCUGAGAAAAACAAUGUCAAGAUCCACCUUCCUGAUGACUUUGUAACUGGAGAUAAAUUUGCCGAGGAUGCAACUGUUGGAAAAGCAGAUCUCAAGUCUGGUAUCCCUGCUGGAUGGAUGGGCCUAGAUGUGGGGUCUGAAUCUAAUGUUAAGUUUGUGGAAGCAGUCGGUAGAGCAAAAACUAUAGUUUGGAAUGGGCCAUCCGGAGUCUUUGAAUUUCCCAACUUUGCCCAUGGUACCAAGGCCAUCAUGGAUGCUGUCGUCUUGGCAACACAGAAUGGAGCAACAUCAAUCAUUGGUGGUGGUGAUACCGCCACAUGCUGUGCCAAAUGGAACACUGAGGAUAAAGUGAGUCAUGUCAGCACAGGGGGUGGAGCUAGCUUAGAACUGCUAGAAGGUAAACUUUUACCUGGCGUUGCUGAACUCUCAGAUGCUGCCUAAUGACAUACAUUUUCAAAUAAAUGGACUGAUCAUUCUUGACCUGAGCAAUAGAUUGAUCAUUCUCAUUCUAGGGACUGAUUAUUCUUAAUUUGAACGAAAUGGAUUGAUUAUUCUUAUUCUGUUAUUGGUCAUUAUCAUUCUAAAGAAUAAGAUCUGAUCAUUCACAUCCUGUACUAUAUGGACUGAUCAUGUUUUUUAUUCUACACAGUUAUGUAGAUCAAUGUUAGUUCAAAUAUACAGAUUCAAUGGUACAAUAGGCGAGCAUGUGUGUGUAUUCUACAGAAACCUCUCUCUGGAUUUAUUAACAGUAAAUGAAUCAGAUAUAAAAUGCACUUUGUGAGAAAAAUUAUUUGUCCAAUGAGUAAGGCAAGUAGGAUUUACUGGAAAACAAAUUAUGAGUAAAAGCAUGUGUAUUGGCAUAGGGAUCAAUAUAAUGUGUUGUUUGUCUAUUAUAAUACAUUUAGAGACAUCUUUAUACACUUGUAUGUUUUAUGAAACGAUCAGUAUUUUAUUGUUGCAUUUUGAUACAAUUCUAGAUUGUAAACAGUGUUAUAAAUGAAACAUAUACAACUUGAAUUAUGUUUUCUGUAUACUCAUACAUAUACCCUAUACAAUAUUGAUGAUAUUGGUCCAACGGUAUUUCAGUUAUUGCCUGGAUGGACGGAGUCAUUCUCUGAUGUUAUGCAGUAUUCAAAAAUCUUAUGUCCCUUAUUAAGACUUGGUACAAACUAACUAACUCGGGUCUCAUAUUGUUAUCCCAACGAACGAAGUUCG
rnacentral:misc_RNA from 1 species